GGUGUAUAUAUACUUUGUAUAUAUAGUGUACUGUGUGUAGGUGGCACACACGCACACAUUACUUUAACCUAUGAGAAACACAUACAUUCUCCUCACUUCAUGCUGACAUGAAUUGACCAAGUGGAUUAGUUCUUUCAAAGAAAUUCACACAUUCAAUUUCUAAAUAGCCGGCCUGGUCUCAUAGACUAGACGUAACAUAGUAAACAUCAAUCCGGGGCAAUCAAAUUAGUAUGAUAUGUUAUAUUUGGUUUGGUUACAAAAGACACAAGGUACUUUAGGCAAAUAUUAAAGUUGGGACGUCUAGCAACCCAAAGGUUGCGUGUUUGAAUCUCAUCACGGACAGCUUUAGCUAAUUUGCAACUUCGCAUAUAAGCUAACCCUUCCCCUAACCUUAACCCCUAGCCUAACUAACGUUAGCCACCUCGCUAACAUUAGCGACAACAUAUUGGAAUUCAUAACAUAGGUUUAGCAAAUGUGUAACAUAUUGUAGGAAUUGUAAUUCGUAACAUAUUCAAAAUGGAUGGACAUCCAAGUAAUUAAAACGAAACAUAAAAUAGACUAAUUGGAGUGUCCCAGACAUUUACUAUGUUGUGUACCCGAGUCAAGGUUGAAAUAUAAAUGAGUGCCAUUUAGAUUGUGAGUAACUAGCACUGUGAACACCAACCCAGGGAGACAACCAACCCCGGUCUCCUCUACUUAUUGAGGAACUGAAAAGCAGUGUUGGUUUCUUGUGUUCUGAAGCUAUCCCAAAGCUUUUCAACCACAUCUUACUCUGUCUCCCUCCGUCGCCCAGCUCUGUCCCCUACAGUCUCUUUCCCAGAGGAGUCCGAGCCUACAGAGCUGGAGGCCAUAGAACAGGAGCUACAUGAUCUGGUGGAAAGAGAACAGGAGCUACUACAGAUACAGACAGACAACAACAUUGGACCGGAUCAUAAACCACUGUCAGACUAUACAGAGGAUCUCAUUGCCCCCUAUCAAGGAGUGUAUGUCCUACCGAGUAACACACCAGAGAACAUGAAACAAUAUACACAGGCUACACCUCCUGCUGCGCCAGAGGCCCCAGAGGACAUAGUGGAGGUGGAGAAGCUCAAUAGUGACCCAGCGAUCGUCCAAUGCCCUAUCUGCGAGCAGGUCAUCACCACGGAAACAUAUCGCAAAAUAGGAGGGGCAGCCUGGAUGCUAUGCCUUGUGUCCAGCAUGUUAGGGUGUGUGGCUGGGUGCUGUCUCAUCCCCUUCUGCUUGGACAACCUAAAGGACGUCAGACAUCGAUGCCCUGAGUGUCACAGCAACAUCUACACCGCAGAACGGAUGUGAAGACAGAAUGGUACUUCUACAGAUACUAUAUCACUGGCUACUGUUUCUUUGGUGUUGGAUGGAGGGAGACAGUGAAUGGAGUGGUUGGAUGGGCGUUAUGCCCUCUGAACUGUGGGACAUUAGAAGGCGAGAGACUGGACAGCUCUAAUGACACCUGGUGGCAGAUGCCGUACAGUACUGUGUUAUGAUCACAGUUUGAGGGGAUGGAGAUUGUUGUUGGGGUGAUAGUUUCUUUCUUGAAAAAGUUGGGAGGAUGAUCCUAAAAAGCACUAUGAAUCUUGAGCAGUGUCCAGCUGUGACAGCAUUUGGUUCUAUCAACGGUGCAGAAUCCAACAGAACCUGAGAAGACUUUCUGACCAAAAUGAUGGACUGGAAUAACACAUACUGAAAGAAUAUAGCGUUCCUUGCUUCAUUAUCUGUAGAACAUACGUUUGUAUAUUCUAAGAGAGAAAAUGUUUCUACUCACCAGAGACUGUAUGAGAACAUGAUCAUUGAAGGCUAAUCAACGCAUUGUUCAUGCAAAUGUCAAAGGGAAAGCAGGUGAUGCAUUGACAGUAAGCCAUUUACCACACAACCACCUAGGAUUUAUGAAAAUGAAGACAAACAUUUACCAGCAAGCAACAAUAGCCUGUAUAUUCUACUUCCCUCUUUCUUUACAGUGACAAAGGUCAACGUAAGUGAAUUAACCUGGCAAAUGUUGUGAACUGUAAUUUUCUAUUUUCCUUUCAAGUGUUUUGUUUAAUCUUGUGGAACUACAGAACAUCAAAUCUAAUAAUGCCUCAAAUGCUUACUACUUUUAUAUAGCACAAUUAUACAACGGAGUAUGAUGCUGUGUUUGUUUUUGACAGCUUAACAUCAUUUCAAAAGAUAUUCACAGUAGAACUUUAACAAUAAUCUCAGCAGCCCAGGACCAAACCUCACGUGAGCGCUGGCCUCCAGCCGCAGAUGUUAGGAGACUCACAAUGCACCACAUUUUAUUGACACAAAAGGCAUUCAGUACAUACGUUUUCAUAUUAUUUACAAAAUAGAUACAAUGGAUGUGCUACACAUGUAUAAAAAUAUGCAUGACAAGUGUGUACACAAUGUGCAAAAUGUAUGUAUGGUGUACAGAUGACAGACUUGACAGUGUGUGUGUGUGGGGGGGGGGG